rnacentral:rRNA from 1 species
AUGGCGGUUGCAGCCGACGGGGGCAUGGUGGAGGAGGACCCGUUCACCAUCCUAGUUGAAUUGCUCAAUAGUGAUGAAUUUCUCAGCAAUGCCAACCGGCGCAAGAAAGAACCCAUUCCAGAAUUUCUCGCGAACUCUCCCUUAACCAUUUUUGAAAGUGUGAAAUACAUCGGCAGCAACGAGACUCAUCCCGAUUACCAAGGAGUGUGCAUCCUUGUUGUACAAUCACUACCUUCCUUACCAAUCACCGCAUCACCAUAUUUUCUCCGGUCUCAAAUACUUCGAAGUAAAAUGUUUCACCCCACCGACGAGGAGGUGGUCACGCACUACAUCAUUCCCAAGAUCUAUAACCCCUACUUCUCCUGUCAUGUGGUCACCGACGUCAACCUCAACAACAACGACCAGUGGGAUCUCCUGAUUAAGUGUAAAGAGGUGAAUGUGGAUGCGAAGGUGUGGUUUCUUUUUGUGCACAUGGAUCGGAAGUACCUGACGGGCAUGCGCACCAACCGUGCAACUAGGAGUGUCGGCAUGAACAAGACGCUCGUCUUCUACCACGGCCACGCCACCAGCGGCCAGAAGACACCAUGGGUGCUGAACGAGUACCACCUCGUGGGCCACUUGCCCCAUCUCCUACCCCCUCUGCCAAAUGAACUCUCCCUAGUCAAUCUAUCGGUCCUCAUGAAGCAUCUCCAAAUUGCAGUAGUGCACGCCUCCCUUGAGGGCAUAUACAUGAGGUGUUGGUUGUGGUGGUUCCCAAGUUCCUUCCUAAUCAUCGGCAACAUCCCAAUAAUAGUUGACUGCUCGUGGUCAUGGCACUAUUGUUCAUGGCCAUGUCUUCCUGAAUCGAGACACUGUAUCGCGAUAGUUUUGCCACAGAAAAUGGUAAAGCGGUGUCAAGAUAUUUGUCGUGGUGUAUACCAGAAAAGUUGGGAUGCCAUAGAGAUGGCAGAGCAGAAAGAUAGAGGGGAGGAGAUGAUAGAAGAGGUCAUUGAGUCGAAGUUCUUUAUGUCGUGGAAAAUUGAGUGUUUGUGUAUGGAAGGAAAAAUCAGCCUAUCCACAGAAGAGAGACGCGUGCACCCUCCCUCCCCAUCCCCUCGCCCCCUCCGCCGGCGCCGGCGCGAUGGCAGGCGACGCGCCGCCGAUGAAGAGGCCCAAGCUGGAGUAGGACGACGCUGGUCCCGCCACCCCUCCGCGGCCAACGGCUCCGCGCCCAGGCCCCCCGCUGCCUCCCCCAGCGAUGCGCCGCCGCCGGGCGGGGAGGAGCACGACGAGGACCUCCCGGAGGAGGCUGUGCUCGCGCUCAUCGCCCACCACGAGCGCGAGGUCGAGCGCUACAAGCUCAAGCUGGAAGCCACUGAGAAGAAGCUGGCCGACACGCGGUCGAGGCUCGCCCGGCACCGAGGCCGCGCCCCCGAUCGGAGCCACCCGCCUCCGCCGCCGCCGCCCGUCCAGAAGGCCGCCGCGCCGGAUUGCAGGUCGCCGCCUCCGAGCCAGAGGGACCCCCCCAAGCUGUCCGCGCCCAGCCAGAAGCCCCCCGCGCCGCAGGCGAGGCCGCAGCUCGUCAUCCCCGCACGUCCGCUCCUCCUGCCAUCCUCGCCCACGAGCUCGCUAUGCUGCACAUGCGCCAAACAACCUCGUCUCUGGUUUCGACUCCCUGUAACACUUGUAAAAAGCUUGCUACAAAUUGCUGAGUGCUUCCUUGCACGUGCCCAUGGGGGAGGGAGCAGCGAGGUGAGUGGCAAAAAAAAUGCAAACCAAAUCCAAAUCCGGCUACGCCAUCGCCGCUGGUGCCCCUUACCUCAUGCGCGGCCAUGGCCCCUGCCGUCGCAGCCCCACCGCCGCUCUGUCCAUGGAUCCCCGCACCACGACAUCGAGGUCAUGGAUCCCCUUACCCAGCAUGCUGCCACUGCCGCCUCCAUCCAGCCGGGCCUCCGCCUCAACCAUCCAGCACACUCUCGCCGCUACAACCAUCCAGCAUGCGGCCGCCGCGUCCUUCUAGUGCACCAUCACCGCCGAUCAAGAAAUGGUGGCACGACAUGGGUCGUCACCCCACGGUCUCCUCCAUCGUCAAGAUCGUAUGUGUGCCGUCCUCAGUCCAACCCCAUGGCAUUAGGAUGGCCAAGUUUGUCACGAGCAACAGUCCAUGGAUGUCGGCUUCAACUUUCCUCCGCAAAGGUCCUUUUGCUCGGUGAUGCAAGGCAUGCACUCUUCUCCCACGCGAGUUCUCUCUCACUGUCCGUUGCUCAUUCUGUAUGCUUUAUUGUGCAUAAUCUUGAGGAAAUCCCCAAAAAUCAUGUGUGCACUCAAGAUGGAGAGCUCGGUCUUUUUUUCGUGGAGCUGGCGCUGCUGCAGUACGGCCUAGUCCAGUCUAAGCCCUCCAUGGUUGCUGCUGCUGUUUCGGCAACUAGGCUCACCCCUGAAGAAGACCCCUAUGUGGAUUGA